rnacentral:rRNA from 2 species
GACGAACGCUGGCGGCAUGCCUAAUACAUGCAAGUCGAACGAACCAUCCUGAAGAUUGAAGCUUGCUUCAUGAUUCAGACCUUGGUGAGUGGCGGACGGGUGAGUAACACGUGGGUAACCUGCCCAAAAGUGGGGGAUAACAUCUGGAAACAGGUGCUAAUACCGCAUAACAACUACUUUCUCAUGAUCGUAGCUUGAAAGAUGGCUCUGCUAUCGCUUUUGGAUGGACCCGCGGCGUAUUAGCUAGUUGGUGAGGUAAUAGCUCACCAAGGCAAUGAUACGUAGCCGACCUGAGAGGGUAAUCGGCCACAUUGGGACUGAGACACGGCCCAAACUCCUACGGGAGGCAGCAGUAGGGAAUCUUCCACAAUGGGCGAAAGCCUGAUGGAGCAAUGCCGCGUGAGUGAAGAAGGUUUUCGGAUCGUAAAACUCUGUUGUUGAAGAAGAACAUGCGUGAGAGUAACUGUUCACGUACUGACGGUAUUCAACCAGAAAGCCACGGCUAACUACGUGCCAGCAGCCGCGGUAAUACGUAGGUGGCAAGCGUUGUCCGGAUUUAUUGGGCGUAAAGAGAAUGUAGGCGGUUUAUUAAGUUUGAAGUGAAAGCCCUCGGCUCAACCGAGGAAGUGCUUCGAAAACUGGUAAACUUGAGUGCAGAAGAGGAAAGUGGAACUCCAUGUGUAGCGGUGGAAUGCGUAGAUAUAUGGAAGAACACCAGUGGCGAAGGCGGCUUUCUGGUCUGUAACUGACGCUGAGAUUCGAAAGCAUGGGUAGCAAACAGGAUUAGAUACCCUGGUAGUCCAUGCCGUAAACGAUGAGUGCUAAGUGUUGGAGGGUUUCCGCCCUUCAGUGCUGCAGCUAACGCAUUAAGCACUCCGCCUGGGGAGUACGAUCGCAAGAUUGAAACUCAAAGGAAUUGACGGGGGCCCGCACAAGCGGUGGAGCAUGUGGUUUAAUUCGAAGCAACGCGAAGAACCUUACCAGGUCUUGACAUACCAUGAAAAGCUAAGAGAUUAGUCUUUCCCUUCGGGGACAUGGAUACAGGUGGUGCAUGGUUGUCGUCAGCUCGUGUCGUGAGAUGUUGGGUUAAGUCCCGCAACGAGCGCAACCCUUAUUAUCAGUUGCCAGCAUUCAGUUGGGCACUCUGGUGAGACUGCCGGUGACAAACCGGAGGAAGGUGGGGACGACGUCAAAUCAUCAUGCCCCUUAUGACCUGGGCUACACACGUGCUACAAUGGUCGGUACAACGUGCUGCGAACUCGCGAGGGUAAGCAAAUCACUUAAAACCGAUCUCAGUUCGGAUUGUAGGCUGCAACUCGCCUACAUGAAGCUGGAAUCGCUAGUAAUCGCGGAUCAGCAUGCCGCGGUGAAUACGUUCCCGGGCCUUGUACACACCGCCCGUCACACCAUGAGAGUUUGUAACACCCAAAGUCGGUGGGGUAACCCUUCGGGGAACUAGCCGCCUAAGGUGGGACAAAUGAUUAGGGUGAAG